rnacentral:rRNA from 1 species
UACGGAGGGGGCGAGCGUUGUUCGGAUUUACUGGGCGUAAAGCGUGCGUAGGUGGUUUCCCAAGUAAGAAGUGAAAGCCCAGGGCUUAACCCUGGAAUUGCUUUUUAAACUGGGUCACUAGAAUAUAGGAGAGGUAGAUGGAAUUCCGAGUGUAGAGGUGAAAUUCGUAGAUAUUCGGAGGAACACCAAUGGCGAAAGCAGUCUACUGGACUAUUAUUGACACUGAGGCACGAAAGCGUGGGGAGCAAAC